UAAAAAUGUACAUCUUAUUUCUAGUCUGAAUUUGUCUAGCUUCAACUUCUAGCCAUUUUAUCAUGUUAUAACUUUCUCUGCUAUCUUGAAGAGCCCACUAUCAAAUAUUUGUUCCCCAUGUAGGGCACUUAAGGACUGUGAUCAAGACACGCCUUAACUUUCUUUGUUAAACUAAAUAGAUAGAGCUCCUUGAAUCUAUCGCUGUAAGGCAGGUUUCUAAUCCUUCAACCAUUCGCCUGGCUCUUCUCUGAACCCUCUCCAAUUUAUCAACAUCCUUCUUGAAUUCUGGACACUAGAAUUGGGCACAGUAAUCCAGCAGUGGUAACACUGAGAUAAAAUAAUGUCUCUGCUCCUACUUGAGAUUCAUCAUCACAGAUAUGACAGCAUUCUCCAAUAACCUGGGAAAAUCUUAUUCAGGUCCCACGGAGAGAUGAGGUCCCGGACGUGGGGUAAAGGCACUUCAGGCCCUUGAGGAACCUGACCUUCAUGUCCUGAGCGAAAACCGACCUGCCCUGGAGCGGUGGAUGGAAGGCUGAAAUAGCAGCCAAGUGGACCUUAAUGGAAGAAACAGACUGGCCUUGGAGCUUGAGAUACAGAAGAUAGUCCAGGAUUAACUGCAGUGAGGCUUGCUCAGGCUGAAUACCUUUAUUCGUGGUCAAGCAAGUGAACCGCUCCCAUUUGGCCAGGUACAGCGCUUUCUGCUGUACAACAGGACCUGUUGGUCACCAGUCGAGCGUCUUGCUCCUCUGCAUUUAACCAUGCAGCAGCCAAGAUGUCAGGUACAGAGCUGUGAGGUUUGGGUGCAGAUAACUGCCGUGGUUCUCGGAUAGCAGGUCCAGCUGGAGCAGCAGCUAUAAUGGGGCGGCCACCAAAAGGUCCAGCAGCGUGCCAAACCAGUGCUGGUGCAGCCAAGCCGGCGCUAUGAGAAUCAUCUUUGCCCUGUGCGGCUUGAUCUUCAUGAGGACUCUAUGGAUUAACAGCAGUGGAGUGAAGGCAUACAUGAGGGCCCCCCAGCCACGGGAGCAGAAAGGUGUCUGACAGGGAACCUCUGUCGAUCCCCUGAAUCGAGCAGAAAAUGUGGCACUUCCUGUUCUGCCUGGACGCAAACAAUCCACUCGGGGAGUCCCCCACAUCUGGAAGAUGAUGCUGACCACCUCCGGAUGGAGCAAACCAUUCGCAUCCCUGGCCCUGGGGAGGUGUACAGCUAAGGGAUGAAUGGUAUGCUGAACACAAAAGUUCCACAGCCUGAGAGCUUCUUGGCAAAGGACUGACAAUCGGGAUCUGCCUUGCUUGUCAAUAUAGACCAUUGUGGCGGUGUUGCCUGUCAGGAUCUGAACCAACCUGCCCUUUAUAUGAGGAAAGAAAGCUUGGCAGGCCAAGCAAACUGCUCUGAGCUUUGAAUUUAUGUGUAGGAAGCAAUUGUUACUCAACCAACAACCUUGCAUACUGAGACUUCCCAGGUGGGCUCCCCACCCCAGACAGGGUGACAAGAGGACAACAAAAUAAUAUCGGAACACAUGGGGGGGCAGCCACAGGCUCACCCCCCCAUCAGGGCUGGCUCUAGAUUUUUUGCUGCCACAAGGGGGAAAAAAAAGCCAGAGUGCCGCCGAAGAAAAAUAUCAGGACAAAUGGCAUCCCAACCGUACAUCGGUCAGGACACAGGACAAACAACUAAAUAUCAGGACAGUCCCGAUUUUAUCAGGACGUCUGCUCACCCUAACCCCAGAUCUGAGGCGUUGUGGACUAGGGUAACCGACAGGGCCAGGGCCGCAAAGAGGAAACCCUCCAACACCGAUAUGAGAUUCAAACACCAUGUGAGUGAUGACAGAAUGCAGUUCGGUACCUGAACUACAAGGUCUAUGUUGUGUCUGUUGGGGAUAUAGACCAACCCCAGCUAAGCCUGUAGGGGCCUGAGGCGAAUCCGUGCGUGCUGAACCACGUAAGUACAGGUUGCCAUGUGACCCAACAACCUCAGGCAUGCGUGAGCGACGGUGAGAGGGUGGCCUCGCAUGCAUGAGAUCAGAUCUGUCAUGGCUCAGAAUCGGGCUUCGGAGAAGGCGGCUCUGGACCAACUAGAGUCGAGAACCGCUCCAAUGAACUCUAUGCGCUGCAGCAGAACUAAAGUUGAUUUUUUUCUCGUUUAUUAACAGACCUAGAUCAUGACAGGUGGAGUGAACCAGAUUGAGGUGCAGCUGCACCUGACCCCAGGAUUGGCCUUUGAUGAACCAGUCGUUGAGGGCCCUUCUGGGGCGGCUCCCAGGACCUAGAAGGAGGAGAGAACUGCUUCCUAGCCUGCUGUGGAGCGUGAAGGCCCAGGGAGUGGAGGGUGGCAUGGGAGUCUAAGGUCAUGCAGGCUUGCGUCCAUGAGCUCAGAGAAAAGCCCCUGCUCCCUCAUAUGGGAGGUCCUGGAGAGUGGGCUGCAUCUCCUAGGAUAAACCCAAGGAUUGCAGCCAAGAGCUGUGCCUCAUCACCACUGCAGAGGGAACAACCCUGGUCGCCAAGUCCCUUGCAUCCUAGGCCAUCUCGAGGGUGCCCCUCACCAUUGAUUUGCCCUCCUCCACUCUUAUGGCCAACUCAUGGAUGUGGUCCUGUGGGAGGGCCUCCUCAAACUUGCCAAGGGAGUUGCCGAGGAUUAAAACUGUACCUGCCCAACAGAGCCUGGUGGUUGGACACCCGAAAUUGCAGACUGGCCAUCGAAUAAAUCUUUCUGUUAAAAA